rnacentral:rRNA from 1 species
AGAGUUUGAUCCUGGCUCAGAGUGAACGCUGGCGGCGUGCUUAACACAUGCAAGUCGAACGGAUACGACUGGAGCUUGCUCCAGUACGGUCAGUGGCAAACGGGUGAGUAAUACAUAGGAAUCUGCCUCGCAGUAUGGGAUAACUGUUGGAAACGACAGCUAAUACCGUAUAUUGCCUACGGGUGAAAGAUUUAUCGCUG